rnacentral:lncRNA from 1 species
AAAUUACUAGGAAUAAAAAAUAUUCGAGAAUCUUAUUUCUAUUCAUUCUAUUAUUAAGAAUGUUGAAUUUCUGUGUUUGGUUCGCACGGUAAUAUUAAUUAGCCAUAUUAUUUAAUAUUGCAAAAAAUAUACAAUUAAUUAAUUAAUUUAUUUAAUUAAUUUUAGAUAAUGUUACCAAAAGUUUCAACAUCUUUUUAGAAAAAAGGGAGAGAGAGUAUAAGUUAGAGAAAGAGAGCAUAAUUUAAAAAAUAGAAAGAAAAAUAAAGUCAAAGUUAGAGGGAGUGAGAGAGUUGAAAUUUUAGAAAGAGAGAGAGAGAGAGAGAAAGCUUAGUUUAGAGAGAGAAAAAAAGUUGAAUUUUAGAGAGAAAAAUAAGUUUAGAGAGAGAUAUAAGGUUAGAGUGUAAANCCAAGUGACUUCUCGCGUUGGUCACGCUCGGUACCCUUGUUCUCUAACAACCACCUGCAUAUUCGCUUCAGUGUCCCCACACUGUCGACUCGAAACUCAUCUACCCUGAAAGGGAAGCGACUUAUGCACCAAUCUCAUCGGAUCAAUCACCGUCCCCGUGAUGAUCCAUUGAUCGGGAGCAUUUAGGAAUUAAUCACCAAUGACACAUGUCUCAAAUUCUCAACCCUUGAAAAUAUAUGUCAUCAUCUUAUUAAUUUCUUGGACGAUUCAUGGACACAUACAUAACAUGAAUGGAAAUAAAAAUCCAAAGUUAUUCAUAAUAUUUUAAAAUCAAAUACAAAAUUAUGUCCUAGAAAGAAUACAUGUGUCGGCCUGGUUGGCUUCUAGGGCAUACAUCUAACAGAUUGUACAUGAGAAAAAAGCAUACGGAGAAUAGAAGGAGUUCAUGGCCUUCCCCGAAGAAUGGGAGGAUAUACCCGAGGCCAUUAGUGAUCCGGACAAAUGUUCAAAGGAGGGCCCCAAUGACUCCGAAAUGGAGAUGAACUCAAAAAAGGACUGCAGGGAUUCACCAAUUCAGAAGGUCCUGAAUGAGUACUACCAGCCAGGGAGAAGGCCAGCUAAAAAUAUAGUUAAAAUUUAUUUCUACUAUCUCUAUUUAUUUUAUCAAAUUAUUUUAUCUAUACUAAAAUAUAGUUAAAAUUUAUUUUUAUUUAAUUAUUUAUUAUUUAUAUUAUAAAAAAGUUUGUGAGUAUUACGUUAAAUUUUAAAAGGUUGGUAGUCCCACCUGUUGAUGAAAAUUCAAAAUCAUAUAUUAUUAUUUUAAUAUAUUAAUUAAUUUUAUUUUAUUUUAUUUAUUAUUAUUUUUUUAAUCAGCGUCCUUUUAGCACGAACGUCCGCGAGCAUGCGCGGACGUUGCGUACCCUCGCGCUCCGUGCGUGCGGACAUUGCGCUCGCUCGCGCCUGUGCGCGCCUACUGGAGAGGACUCAGACAGACGUUUCUUGAUGCAUAAUUAAAAGAGGCUAAUUAAGGGGUGUAAUGACGAAAUGUGAACAUUGGGAUUCCCAACGUUCCAUUCCUCUUUCUUUAUGUAUAAAUAUCUUGUGUUUACUGCUGCAAGGUUUACUGUUGCAAGAUACAUGUUCUAUAUACACAAAGGAUAGUAAGAAGAAAAUUUUAUUUUGAGAUAUUUUUAUAGUUUUUUUUUUCUUCUACUUGUUUAAUAUUUUAUCAUCGGGUGUUGAAAGAUUCUCCGUCAGCUUCUUCAGUGUUCGUGUCCGCAGGAGGAGGAAUUCCAUAUUGUAAAAUCUUUUUGAUCUUUUAUUAAAAUAUUUUUUAAAAAACAACUCAAGGGUUUAAUUUUAGUUUACGAAAAAAUCCCGAAAAAAAAUUAAACAAAAAGAUUGUAAAGAAAAGAAUAAGAAAAGGCCUGUGCAUCAAGGCGUGUAGAGCACUGUCCUAGAAGCGAAAUUGCCCCUCCACGUACGAGGCUUCUCGGCAAUUACUCCUAGCGAUACAACAAUAGCAUUGCGAAAUUGCCCCUCCACGUCCCCCUCCACAUGCCCCUCCGCGUCCUAGAAGGGAAAUUGCCCUUCCACUUGCGAGGCUCAGAUACUCUGUAAGUAAGUAGCAUUGCUACCAUCCUUUUAUUUAUGUCAUCGGCUGAACAUAAGAGGCUGUAUAUGGUUGCAGAUGGUUGCCUGGGAAAAAGCCAUCCAAACCUGCAAUGCUUAGCCUUUCACUAGAAUAGAGCAGGAAAAAAGCAAGGGGAAAAAGGUGGGUGAAGUUGAGUGAAAACUUGAAGCUUCAUUGGAAAAAGGUGGCAAGUAAAAAAUCUGUAAAACAAUUGAACCAAAUGAUAAAACAGUAAACACGAAUGAGAAGGGGAUGAUUAAGAAAAAGAAAGAACCCAAACUGUAUAAUUCUGUCAAAAAAGCAUCGAGAAAGGUAACCACAAAAGAGUGAAGGAAAACUAAAAGAACAUUUUAAACACUGUGAAUCAUAGAUAAAAUAGAGGGAAAAAAAACAAAAAGGCGAGUGCUAAAUCGACGUAGUAGUAUAUUAUUUGUUAAAGUAAUCAUAGCUGUUGGAAAUAAUAGGCAGCGGAAACUUACAAACCGGAUAGCCAACGUAUCCGGGAACCGGAAUCGGAUUGGGUUGCUCGUUUUACAAGCCUUAUUGGAUCGUCCUUGUCUCGAUACUUCUGGAUCUCUCACGUUUCGUCUUCUUCCACGCGUCUCUCACGUUUCGUCUUCUUCCACGCGUACGCCUUACGUCACGGAACGGAUCGCCUUACGUCACAGAUGCCAAUCGGAGAGGGCUACCAGAGUCCUCUCCUAUGUCCACACUCUAAAACCCCGGGAACGUAGGUGGAAAUCCUAGAGAGGAAGAAGAGAGAGAAGAAGGAAGANAAUAUCAAUUAGCCGGCGGGUAGGAAGAAAGAAAGAGAUUAGACAUAUUAUGAUUACCCCAAUCAAUUAAUAUGAGGAUACCCACCUUCCCUCAAGGGAAUGAGAUUAGUACUUUGGGGUGAAUCUUAUUCUCAAGUGAAUCCAAUAUUACCAACUAGAUUACUUAGUGAGUUUAGCCAAACACCGUCAUAUUUUUUUAUUCCCAUUAGAUUAUUAGGAAUCUUUAAAAGAUAGCGCGAACCAAACGCACCCAUAUGGUCUCAUCAGAAACUGAAGAAGCAUAUCUAUAUAUUAGAGCUGUCAACGAGCUAAACAAAAGUGAGCUAGGGCCGGCUCGUGUUCGGCUCAUUUAUGAAACAACCCAAACACAAGCUGCCUCGUUAAAGUAUCAAGCCAAAAUUCAGCUCGUGUUCGGGCUCGCUCACGAACAACAAACUAAAAAGAUUGAAAAGAAUAUAUAUAGAAAAUAAAUUUAUGAGUUCUUACUCAUUAGAUUUUGAUCUAAAAAUUGAAACUUUAUAUAUAAAUAGGUUCUUUUUAUAAUUGAGUUGGACCUUAUAUAUAGUUGGACUAAAAUUAAAUAAUAAAAAUUUAUAUUUUAUAAUAUAUAUAUAUAUAUAUAAUAUAAUAUAACAAUUCAUAAAUUAUAUAAAUAUAAAAUAUAUGUAUUCGAGCUGUUAUCGAGCCGGACACAAGCAAGUUGACUCCAGUUCAUGUUUGGCUCGUUUAUUAUAAAAUGAGCUGAAAAAUUAAACUCGUGCUCGACUCGUUUACUAAACAAGCGAUUCGAUCUCAAGCUCAUUCCGAGUUAAAUCCAAGCUGACUCGCAAAUAUCGAGCUGAAUUGCCACCCCACCUAUAUAUGCCUCCGCCCCAACUUAUAUAUUUCAGCCCAAUGGCUUUUUCUGAUUUUGAGGCAUUUAUAGUACGUAGGGUCGAUGCAGUGCGUGGUGCAACGGGUGCAUGCAGUGAUUUUCCACACUAGAGAGAAAGAUCUACCUGACUUGUAUGCCUUGACUCGCAAGACUUGGACUGCUUGAAUGAGAAAAAUAUUGUUGAAAAGAUGACUAGAUUAGUGAUAUAUCUGUUUUACUAAAUCAAGAGUAGAGAAUGAUAUCUUGGAAGAGUGAAAAUUUUUCGAAACUUAUUAGGUUAGUGAGAGAAAAUUAAAUAGGGUAAUAAAGGUAUCACUGUAUCUUAUGUAAGCCCUUAUGUAACUUAUGUAAGCCCGUAUACUCGAGUGCUUGCCUUUUGAGAGUAACUUAUGUAAGCUCUUACGACUGGAAUAAUUUUCUAGAGUUGAGGUAAAUAAAUAUUGACAAAAAAUUAGUUUUUGUUUUAUUUCCCUACAUUUCGACGAUAAAAUAUUUGAAUCAAUAAUCGACACAAUAAAUAUUAUUAUCUACAAUAAUUGAUCAUCGAAAACCCGUCCAGCCCCGGUGAUUUAUCUGGCGGCCGGGGAGCUUGGUGUGAAAAGUUUAAAAGCUUAAAAUACGGCAUUCCUUAUCAAAUGAUGGUGGAAAUUCUUUGUUGAAAAGGAUGCACCUUGGAUAAAGCUAAUCAAAUCCAUAUAUUACAAUAGAAUAAUACUCUGCCCACUAUGUAACUCCAUUUCUGUUCCAGUUUCACAAUUCUAGAAAGGAGUAACAGAAACUUCGAACAUUUUUUGCCCCUCAACGGAUUGAAAGAUAGGUGAUGAGAAGAAGUCUACAUAUUUCGAGUUACGUCAAUGGGGAAGUGACAUUAGCUUUCAAAAUCUUUACCCUGAGUUAUUCAAGGGGACACAUAAUAAAGUUGCUACUGUCGGGCGCUAAGUCAAUCUCACUUUGCAAGAGUUAUAUGGGCAAUUACAUGGCCCACUUACAUUAAUUUCUCAUAAUGACCUCACCCAGCUUGUGAGGGUGGUGCAAGAGACAUUUUUUCAAGAUGUCGAUGAUCGAAUUAUUUGGCGCCGGACAACGAGCCGAAAUUUUUCUGUAGCUUCAGCAUGUCAUUUUCUUACUAACAGAGGUGUCACUAUAGCUAAUUUGAAGGUGAUCUGGGAAAUUGGAGCCCCUCUUAAAGUAAAAGUCUUCGUGUGGUUAAUGUGCAAAAAAAAAAUCUUAACGGCCGAGAACUUGAGGAAAAGAAAUUGACCGGCAACUAGUCAGUUAAUUCACGUAUAAUACACGAAUUAUUCACGAACAAUCGGCAAAACGUAUAAAACACUCCGUUUACGAACUUUUUCCAAAAAAAUCGGAAUAAAAUGUAUUUUUUUUCCUUGCUCAAAGUAUUCGCGAUUGUUGGAAAUUCGAUAGCAACGAAAACUUACGAACUGAAUAGCCAACGUAUUCGGGAACCAGAAUCAGAUCGCAUUGCUUGUUUUACUAGCCUGCUUGGAUCGUUCUGGUCUCGAUGCUUCUAGAUCUCCCAUGUAUCUCGACUAUCUCGGCUUCUCCCACGCCUACGCCUCGCGUCACAGAUCGGAUGCGUCGGAUACGAAUGGGGUGCAAAUCGGAUGCGAUGGAAGUCAAUCGAAGAGGGCUACCAGAGUCCUCUUCUAUAUCCACACUCCAAGAUCCCGGGAAUGUAGGUGGAAAUCCUAAAGAAAAAGAAGAGAGAGAAUAAGGAAGAUUGAUUGUGGAUUCUCUUAGAUCGAAUUAGAUCAUAUGAUCCGACCCACUAGCAAUAAUAACUCAUUGGACCCAAACCACAGGCCCAAAAUGCUUAAAUCUAGUUAUUAUGUCUAGCCUAAACAAGCUUAUAUACUUUCACAUCUAGCUAUAACUACCCGAUGUGGGACAAUUAGGGUGUCACAUUACCAAACCAACAGCGAAGCAAAUGUCAGGUCGAAUACACAUCAUAGUGUACAUCAAGUUGCCAAUUGCACUCGCAUAAGGAACCCUACUCAUUUGCUCCUUAUCUUUAUCCGUUUUAAGGCAUUGAUCAGACUCAGAGUAUGAUUCCUUUCCACUAGAGUGUCCAUGGGUUUUCUAUGAUGCAUCCUAAAAUGCUCUAGAACCUUUUUAAUAUAAGGUUCUUGAGACAAACCAAGAAGCCUUCUAGAGCGAUCACGGAUGACCUUCACUCCGAGCACAUAGCUCACCUUACCCAUAUCUUUCAUCUCAAAGUCGAGAGACAACCACUCCUUAGUGGUAUUGAUCGACUCCAUGUCAUUUCCAACCAAUAGUACGUCGUCGACGUAUAGGAAAAGGAACAGAAUUCCCUUCUCUCUCUUCUUGACAUAUACACAGUGGUCCUUCUUUAUCAUGGACAUACCGAUAGAAGUGAUGGUUUCAUGAAACCUGAAAUACCACUGUCUCGACGACUGCUUGAGACCAUAAAUAGAUCUUUUAAGCCAACAAACCUUGUCUUUUUUUUACCUUUGUGUACCAAACCCUCAGGUUGAUCUAUGUAGAUCUCUUCAGCUAAUCCUCCAUUGAGAAAAGCUGUCUUGAUAUCCAUUUGGAACAAUUCCAAAUCUAGAUAUGCCACUAAGGUUAAAAUCAAACGUAUAGAGACAAAUCGCACAACGGGAACAAACGCCUCAUUGUAAUCUAUCCCUUGCCUCUGAGUGUAGUCCUUGGGCACGAGCUGAACCUUAUAUUUAUCGAUUGAUCCAUCCACCUUACGCUUAAUUUUUAAAACUCAUUUAUUUCCAAUAGACUUGCGCCCGGGCGGAAGGUCAACCAACUCCCAUACUUGGUUCUUGCUCAUAGAGUCAUCUCAUCUCUCAUAGUAGCCAUCUACUCACUGCAAGCUGACGUCUGCAAUGCUUCUUUAUAAGAAGCAGGUUCAUCAUCAUCGAGCAAAGUGCAUAUGAAAAUAUCCCCUUCGAUCUGAAAAUGUUGACGGGGAAUAUGUCCACGUUCACUUCUACGCAAUAAAGGGCCUGAACUGCUGACUUCCAAGGGUAUGCUCUUAUUCAAGGAAGCACUCCCACUAGCCGGAGGAUCGCUACCACUUAAGUGACUUCGGAAAGUGAUUGAUCACCCUCAACAACAGAUAGGGUAGCGUCGUCCUGUAACUCAUACAACUUGACGUCUCUUCGCAUUUCACCAAUGCUUGGAAAUUUCUCUUUUAGGAAUUCCAUAUCACGAGACUCAAUCUCGGUCAUACCACCACCUGGGUGUUCACCAUACAUUACAUAGCCCUUCGAAUUUUCAGGGUACUUGAUGAACACAUGCUCACUUGCUCUAGGACAGACAGAGUUUCCCGAAUCUAUGUAAGGAGCUGUGAACAUAUCCAGCCAAAUCCCAAUGGCGUAAGUAGUGUGAUCUCUGCUUUCUACAACUUCACAACUCAUAUGGGGUAGAAGGCACUAAUUUGCGAAGGACUCGAUUGUAGAUAUAGGCCGCAGUGUCACGCCCCGGGACCGAUACCAAUUUGGGCCGGCCCGGGCACGUCAGACAGACGCCGAACGGACAGAGUUUUUCCUAUCCGCCCAAGGCUCAUCACCUGUACAUUUUCAAGUAGAGAAAAGCACUAGCGAAAACAUACACAAACGGCUUACACGAUGAUAAGCAAUAGCCAUGAGUGAAAGAAAGGAAACUAAACAUCUACACAAGUACUAUGAUUCUCUUUUGAUAACAUACAUGUAUCCAUUUCAUCCAACUUGUACAUUCAUAAAGUCUUUACAUUUCAUUACAUCACUUGAAUCAUUUCUUUUACAUCACAUUUGCCCAAAAUAAACAUUACAUUCUUUUUCUUUACUUUAAACAUCUUCAAGUACAAAAGAUGACAAUAGGGUGGCUACUAACAAAAUAUGAAAUAACCCAACUCUGGUGGCCUCUGACUAUGGUGCGAUACCUUUACCACGGUCGCUCGCCGGCUCGCUCGGUCCCGACUCUGUGGAAUAGUGGGGUGAGAACUACAACAAAGUUCCCAGUGGCUUCGGCCCCAACCUCACCGACUUUCCCACUGGGACUAACUCAAGCAUAAUAGAAAGGAUAAGCAAAAUAGUAACCAAACUAUAAUCAUGAUGCUAAUAUGCUUGGACAAUAAAGCAAGAAAAUCAUGCAAGUAUGCAAGUUCUUUGUUCUUUAAGCUUUGUUCCUUGUUCUUUAAUCUCACGGCUAACCCGGGGGUUUCGCCACAUUAACUUGCCCACAUUAAGUCCAUCAUCGCGGGCCCUCAGCUGCCUACCGCUAAGACCGUCCUCGGGUUUACUCCAACCCGUGAUACAAAACUCCGGAGCGCAUCGCUCGAGGGGGAGCGACCGCCCUCGAGCACGGAACUCAUAGCAAGUAUGAUCGAUCCUUAACUCUAAGGAUAUAUAGUUCAAUCAUUGUCUUUACACUACCUCUAGUGUUCUUUACAUCACUUUAUUUUGCUAACUCUAGCAAUCAUUGUUCUGUAAUUUUACUCGUUCUUUAUGCCACUUUCGUUUUCUUUCCUUGUCUCUAAUCAUUAUCAUUGUUCUUUGCGUCAUAUUUCUCUUUGAUGCCACACACACACUAACUCUAGUGUCACUUUACUUUACAUUAUCGAAUGCCACUCGAUCUAUGUUUUAUUGUGUCACUUGUUCUUUCAUCUCAUUGGGUGCUUACAUUAUAUCUCAUGCAUACAUAUAGGGUUGAAUAGGUUCUCAAACAUUUCAAAUAGCACGUGUACUCACAUCAUGCAACACUCACAUAUUAACAUCACAUCUACCCUAUAAUGCAUGCAACAAUAUAAAUAUAUGCUCAAUUGAAUGACACAUUAGGCAUAGAGGGAAUUCCAACAAGUUUGGAUAGCACCACCCACCUCGUAGGCGUACUAGGAUGCUACGGUGAUUUUCCUGGGAUUUUUAGUCUCUUAGUUCGCUACCUGCGGCAAAGCGAAGCCCUAUUAGGCCAUUUUACUCAUAUCUUUACAUUGGCCUUUCGUAACGUCAAUCCGAGCGCUCCAACACGUCGAAAAUACCCCCAAUUAGAUUUUUAGAGGGUCAAUUUUAUUUUGAAAUCCUCACAAGCAAAAGCCCCAAAUUUGGGUGCCCUAGUUCAUACCAUAUAUCAAACCUAGGGUUUGAUCUCAACAAGAAGUAAAAAAAGCUUCAAUCUACUCUAGAGACUCUAUUAAAACCAUUCUUAACUCUAUCAAAACCCAAGUUUGGGUUCCACCAUGAGAGAGGUUGAAGCUCACCUCUAAGCUUCAUCACAUAUACCCCAUCCAUGGUUUUGAUCUCUUAAAGAAGCAAAAGAAAGCUUCAAAUACUCAAAAGGUUCUACUAAAAUCAUUUCUAGGUCAUUUGGUUAUCAUUCUAGGGUUUUACCAUGAAUAGGAUUCAAGCUUAUCUCUAAGCUUGCUCCUAUGUUGCUCCAAAGAGGAAGAAGAGGAAAUAGCUCUACUCCUUAGCUUCUCCUUCACCUUCUACUCCUUCUCCUUUUUCUUUUUUUCACUUUCUUUCCUUUCUUUUCUUCUUCUCCUUCUUGUCUUCUAGAGAGAGAAAGAGAGGAGAGAGUGCGUGAGAGGGAGAGAAUGAGAGCUAGGUCCCUCAUAACCCCUCAACAUAACCUAUAUAUUGCAUAAUUGCAAAUAAGCCCCUCAUCUUUUACUUUAUUAAACUGCCUGAACUGGGCAGAUUUCGUGUUCGAGGACCGGUCUCCCCGACUUGGGACCGGUCCCAGAGAGCUCUCCCGGAAGCUGGCAGAGCUCCAGCCUGAUGCAACCGGUCUCUCUCUAGGGGACCGAUCUCUCGGGGACCGGUCUCUCCCUGCAGGGACCGGUUCCAGAGAGUUAGUUUUCUGGGACUUAGCCGAUUUUCAGCCUUUCUCAUUUCUCACGCGUACGGGGACCGAUCUCUCCUUCAGGGACCGGUCCCCGAGAGCACAAAACCUGUAGAAUGUAGAUUUUUGAUUCUUUAGCUCUUGAAAACCUCCCACAAUGCAUUUUUGAUCCUUUUAACACCUUCGGACUUUCCGAAGUGUACCAUCCUCGCACUUUGAUCAACUUGACUAAAGUUCGAUAUUUAUUUUCCGAAUUCUCGGUAUAUUACACGCAGUCAAAAGUGCAUCUCCUAAAAAAUGUAUAAAAAGAUGCGCCUGCACCAUCAUCGACAUAACCAUGUCUAGCGGAGUACAAUUCCUUCGCUCUGCAACACCAUUUUAUUGCGGAGUACCAGGAAUAGUGAGCUGUCUACUAAUGCCCUUUUCCUCACAAUAAGUCUUGAACUGAUCAGACAAGUACUCACGACCUCGGUUAGUGCGAAGUGUCUUUACACUUCUUUCUAUUUGAUUCUCAGCCUCCGCAACGAAGCGCUUGAAGCAAUCUAAAGCUUCAGAUUAGCGAGAAAGCAAAUACACAUAUCUAUAACAGGAAUAAUAAUCAAUGAAUGUGAGAAAAUAGCACACACCAUGUCGAGCCCUCACAUUCAUUGGCCCACAAAUGUCUAAGUGGAUUAGCUCCAAAGUAUGAGAGGCAUAAGUAGCCUUACCAAAAAGCUUGUUACAUGCCUUCCCAGCCAAACAAGGCUCACAUACAGCUAGGUCAAUUUUAGCAAGAGACCCCAAAAGGCCUUCUCGAGCCAGUCUAUUCAUCUUUAUUGACCUAUAUGGCCUAAUCUGGCAUGCCAUUUAAUGAAUUCAUUACAGAGAUUAGAAGAAGAAGAAGAAGCAAAUGCAAACGAAUCAUCCUCCAAAUCUAAUUUAAAGAAACCAUCAACUAAUGUAUCAUAUCCAAAUAAAGUACCAUAAAAGAAAAUAUCAAGGCAGUCUCUAUCAAAAUGAAAUGAAUAUCCAAGAUGCAACACAACUAAAACUGAAUAUAGAUCACAUCAAAUUCCGGGUGCAUAUAGCACGUCCUGAAGAAGUAAAGUAUGGCCACCAUGCAACUUGAGUUGGUACGAACCAACUCCAAGGACUUCUUUCUUCGUGCCAUUCCCAAGGGUGACAAACUGUGUGCCAGACGGUACUCGAUGGUAAUCUACGAACCCCACUCGAUCACGAACUACGUGUUUAUUUGCUCCUGUAUCCACAAUCCAAUCAGGAAAAGAAUGCUAAAGCAUAAGAGCAAACAAAACAGUGUGAGUUGAGUGGUAGGGUUACCUUUUUCGACUCAGGACAAUUCCGAGCGAAAUGACCCUUCUGCUUGCAAUUAUAACAUUUUAGCUUUGUAGCAUCCCUACUGCCAACGCGCUUGCCUCUGCGGUACUUUCGAACUCCACCCUGAGGAGCUUGAUUCCAUUUCUUCUGCACUCCAUUGUUGUGAUGUUUUUUUUGUGCUUGGGUGCGAUCCCACUGCGCUUCUCAGAGCGUGCAAUAAGAGCGACAGAACGGUUCGCUUCCAAGCGCUCUGUCUCAAGCUCGAGAUGGCGCGAGAUAUCAUUACACAUUUUAAUAUUCUCGUUGUGCGUCAUCAGGAGUUUCACUGGGACCAUUUAGGAUCAGGCAGUGAUCAAAUCACUGCUAGAACUUGUUACUCAUCAGUGAGCUCAUUUCCAGCAGUCUUAAAGUCUCGAAUUAUGGUGCUCAUCACACGGAGGUGCUCAGCCAUUGAAUAAUUCGUGUCUUUAAUAUACUGUUGAAACUUGAGAUUUAAGGCACGUAGCCUCAUAGCUGAAGUUUGACCAAAAGUACUUCAGAUUGUCCCAAAUGUCCUUGGCAGUUUCAAAGAUCUCAAACUGUCCAAUGAGGUCAUCUUGUAUGGCACACAACAUAGUGUACCGAGCAGUUCGAUCCUCCUGGAUCCAUUUGUUAUAGAUCUCUUUUUCAUGCUCAGAAGUUGUACCUUCGGCAGGCAGGACUCUUUUGACAGAAAGAGUUUCGAUAACCCCUUAUUCAUUAAGCAGGUAUUGUAUUUUUCAAUACCAAAUAUCAUAAUUUUUUCCAUCUAGCUUAUCAUCCCUAAUGAGAUCAGUUAUGAUAUAUUUGAAAGUCAUUUCACUGCAUUCAAAAAUAGGUUUGGACAUUAUGCACAUUUUUCAAAAAAUUAACAAGAUUGAAACACUAUCCUCGACACAACGGGAUCGAAAAUUUUGCUAUACUCAUAAUCAUCACUCAGUGUCGAUUCAAAUAUUACAAUCUCAUUAAUUUUUCUAUUAAUUUUGGAACUUAUUCAAAAAGUUGGAACUUAUCCAUUUUAGAAAAAUAUUUUGAGAACUUAUCUCAAUAAUAUCAUCACACCGAUAAAAAAUAAGUAUUUAUACCAAAAUUUAAUUUGAAAACGUCGACGCUAUGCAAAAUAUAUUCCUUUAUAUGGCCUUAAUUAUUACAUUGCUUUUUACAGAAUAAAACCUACUACAUCACUACAAAGAUGUACAUCUGGAAAAGAAAUGUACAAUAGAAAUGCUGUACAUGUCGAACCGCUUUUCAAAAAUUAAAUUUUGUUGAAAAUACCGAAAGAACAUAAGUACUUAUGUACCAAAAAAAACAUAUGCUACAUAGGCAUUUAAAAUUCACCCACAUAAGAUAAACAACACACCAUUGAACCACAAGCAUAAAAAAAAAGUACCGCACAGAAACAUAAAAAAAGUGUGUUGUUGUGCAGGAUUAUUUUUUUUAUCACAAAAAAUUUUACCAUACAAAAAAUUUUACCAUAAAAAUUUUUUUUUACCGCACAGUCAGGGCCGAACUGGGACCACGCUCGCGUGCGCACCAGGGCGGGCCGGGCCAAAAAAAAUGCUCGAACCCUGGGCAGGCCGCACCCUCCACGUGGCAGGCAGAGCAGGCCUGCAAGCCCGCCGGCACUGCGAGGGUCUUCCCGCGCGAGUGGCGGGCUGGGCCAGGCCCGCAAGCCCGUGCACGACGCACAGGUUCACACCCGAGCCCGCAGCGGACCAGGCCUGCGCACCAGCGGGUGCGGCGGGCCUACCCAGGCCUGCGCGCCCGCGCAGGACCGCGCGGGCCUGUGCAGGUGUAGGGCCGCACCCAGCUCCGGCGCAGGGGGGCGCGGCAUAGGGCUCGGGCCGGGCCCAGAGCCCGCUCGAGCGCGCAUAGGCCAGCGCGGGCNCGGACUGGCUCGGGCCGUGCCCAGAGCCCGCUCGAGCGCGCAUAGGCCAGCGCGGGCUGAGCCGAACGGACAGAGUUUUCCCUGUACAUCCUAGGCGUCGCAAUCAAUACAAUUCGCGAGAUUCCAACCAGGAACAUAUUUCAAGCAAGAAUUGCAUAAGGAAGUAUCAAAAACAUAAAACAACUAAACUAUUACAAGCAUUUACAUCACAUGCUUUCUACAUAUUAUAUUUUCGUUUUCUUUUCUUCCAAAUACAAUCAGUAUUAUUACAACAUUGUAUUCUUCCUUUCUACAACCCCUAGCUAGGCCGACUCAGGAUAAUGCUAUCUCUGGUCUCUGUGAUAGGGCGCUAUCUACGGAGCUACGCCCUUUCCUCGCGCUGUCGUGCCGCUCACGUGUAAACCUGGAACCCCAAAACCACGUGGGGUGAGAACUAUUGUUCAUAGUUCCCAGUGGGUACAGCCACCUAAGAAAAAAUCUCGACCCACCAGGUUCGAAGGAGGCACUGCAACAUGUUAGUCCAACAAGUAUCCACAAAUAUAUAUAUUCAUCAAAUAAGUCAUGCAACUAACAUUUAUCAUGUUCAUGCCUCACAACAUGCAACUAUGUGAUCAUGCAACUCAAAAUGCAAUAAUGUAAGUAGAUCUACUAAUUCUACUUCCUGUUUUGCUAUCCACAGCUCAUCCAAAUGACAUCUAAGUUUUCCUCUAUCUUAGAUUCAUGUCAAUUACAAUUCUACUCAUAAGGUUUCAUCUACCUUUUCAAAGCAAUCCACUCGACUCGGUCUUGAGUCAAUCUUCCGCGGCGUAUCGCGUAAAGCCAGGCUCGAUGUAAAGGACGUCUCACAUGCAACUAAACCUUAAAUCUACUCAACUAGGAUGCCAACUAGGAUGCCAAUCCACUCUCUAGGAUUCAUCCAUAGCUCACAAAAAUAUCACCCAAUCUCACUGGCUAACCAAAAGGUUAAGCCCCGACUCACUUUGAAAAUCUCAUAGGUGAGGAGAAUCUGCACUCGCACACUGAGACCGUCUGCGGGACAACUACGUCUGCCCCUAUCGUGAAGUACUCCGGAAACCACUGCUUCGGUGGAGCGACCACCGACAAGCGAAAACAGACUAUGUGAGUAUGAUCCAAUCCUCUCACUCGAAGAUACCCUUUCUACUAGGGUUAACAAUGACAUGGAAAUCCACUAAUCCCAACAAUAAUGUCACAAGUGUCUCUACUACACUAGUUUCACGUGGCAUAUAUCCACGACUUGGAAAAUCACCUAUCCCUAUAUUCAUGUCAUAGUGUCUCUACUACACUAGUCCAAAUGCCACUCGAUCUACUUGACAUUCUACUCGUCCACAUCGAGUAUUAUAGUUUUCAUGUUCUUGUUUUCCAAUGCCGAAUUCUCUAAUCGACCAAGUUCAACAUGCAUACUUCAUCUACUAUGAUCCACAAUAUGGCAACAUGCAUAGUUCAUCCAACAUAAUCUACAAUAUGUCAACAUGCACGGUUCAUCCAACAUAUCUACACUAUGUCAAUAUGCAUUAUCUAACAUAUACAAUAUGUCAUCAUACAUCUCAUCUAGCAUAUACCACAUAUCAUUAUGCAUUUCAUCUCAAUGGUAGGUAACAUCAACUACAUAAUAUGUUUCAAGCAUUCAUAUUAUCAUACGAGCCUACCAAUACACCUAUAUGCAUCAAUUAGAAAACCAUACUCCACUUCGACAUGGAGGCGACCUAAUCGCUUCAGUGAAGCACAACCCACCUCGCAACGCUCUCCGAUUGCUUGUCGACACUUGCAAUGGUUCGGCUCGAAUCCGCAGUCAAUCACCGAACGCCCGCUAAUCUGCGACCUAGGGUCAUCAACGGCUCGUCAAUAACCUUCAAUUAGAGAACAAUAGGGUUUAAUUAGAUCAAAACCCUCUAAUUUCCAAACCCUCAUUUUACACCCUAGUAUGAAAUUAACCUCCAAAUAUUCCAAAAUUAAAUGGAGCGACAUGCUAGAAACACUCUAGAGACUACUAGAACACUAAGCAUUAAGGAUUAAACCAAAUCCUAAACACUUACCGAAAUUGUGAACGCCGAGUAGAAAGCACGCUGCUCAACCGGGCGCACAAAGACUCGAACCGUUGCUUCCAACGCAUUCACAAGCUCGCUCUCCGCCAAUGCCGCGAAUUUGAGAUAGAGAUCUAGAGAGAUGAGAGAGAUAUUUAGAGAGAGGAAGGGAGGGUUUCUCUCUCCCUCUCCAUGCGUGUGUGUAUGUUGGUGUUGUGUGUUCGGUUGAAAGAGAAGAAGAAGAAGACAACUCCUUUUUAUACAAAGCCCCCUCAACAAUACACUAUUCACAUCAGCAGUUUAGCAGCUCAGAAUCUGAUACUUUUCACCAGAGCCCUUCUGAAUGUCUGUUUACGCUCAAAUUUGACAGUCAUGCUCGAUUUUCUUUAAUAAGAAAGAAAAUAUCUUAAGUUUUCAGUUUCGACCAUUUUUGGUCACCGAAAGCUCUACCGAACUAAAAUUUCUAGCAGAUAACAGUCGGAUUUUAUUUUUUACUUUUCGGGUGUCAGAAUGUCAUGAAAUUUUAAAUCUAACCUCAUAAAAAUAAUCCCGACACAUUUCCAGAUUUUCAUAAUUUUCUGACACUGUGCAUUUUCUGCUAAAAUAUCAGCCCCGUUUCUCACAGAAAAUUCUAAAUCUCCUGUUUUCACUCCGAUUUCAGCACGAGUCAUUCCAGACUUACAUUCUACUUCUUUAAGUCCAAUCAAAAUAGUAUCUUCCGCUAUUUUUAUUUACACUUAAUUUUAUAUUACAAUCUAGUACAUUACACAAAAUAUCAAAAAUACCUAACUUCGGCCCACCCCAAGACGAAAUCAAUUAUUAAAAAAAAUAAGUGAGAAAAAAUAAUUAAAUAUUAACCCAUCUAUCAUGCCUCUAGCUUUUAUGUCAUUCACUUUUGUCAAACAAACAAUAGAAUUGGAGAAACUUCAGUUCUAUAGGUAUACAAACAAAUAGCAGAAGGAACGCAAUUUUUACCCGAACUCUAGUUCAUCCGAAAGCCUACUUCAAUUUGAACUUCACCUUCGAUGAAAAUAAUAGGUUCAUGGUUUUUUU